rnacentral:rRNA from 1 species
GUCCAGACUCCUACGGGAGGCAGCAGUGGGGAAUAUUGCACAAUGGGGGAAACCCUGAUGCAGCGACGCCGCGUGAGUGAAGAAGUAUUUCGGUAUGUAAAGCUCUAUCAGCAGGGAAGAAAAUGACGGUACCUGACUAAGAAGCCCCGGCUAACUACGUGCCAGCAGCCGCGGUAAUACGUAGGGGGCAAGCGUUAUCCGGAUUUACUGGGUGUAAAGGGAGCGUAGACGGCAUGGCAAGUCAGAUGUGAAAGCCCGGGGCUCAACCCCGGGACUGCAUUUGAAACUGUCAGGCUGGAGUGCAGGAGAGGUAAGUGGAAUUCCUAGUGUAGCGGUGAAAUGCGUAGAUAUUAGGAGGAACACCAGUGGCGAAGGCGGCUUACUGGACUGUAACUGACGUUGAGGCGCGAAAGCGUGGGGAGCAAACAGGAUUAGAGACCCGAGUACG